GAACAUGCCAGUCAGGUGCAAUAGGAAGCCAGUGUAAUACAAGAAGAGAGUCGUUUACAGGCUAUCGAGGCUAAAAUCCAACUGAAGGAGCACAAGAUGGAGUCUAUGGUGAACACAGGGCAGAUUAGAACAGCAGUAAGAGGAACUUCACUACAUGGUGUGUGAAAGUAUACAAAGCUUAUCUGAAAACCAAGGGAAGCCACAGAGCAAUUGACUAUCUUGCAGCCAAGAAGAGAACCAGAAGACCAGCUGUAGUUGCCAGAAUAAGUACUAGGGAAACUGGGGGAAAAAUGUGUUUCAAGUCCCCAUGUGGCUCAUGAAAGCAAGAUUGCCGAUUGCAUACCUGGCAAUGGAAAGUGGGUACUGAUGAUACAACAUUUCUGAGACUGAAUUCCACAAAACCUUUUGCAAGUUGAUAACAAGCAAGUGGAGGAAGAUGAUCUUUCCUAUCAAAAGGCUAACCAGUGCUCAAAUAUGGCUCCAGGACCUCACAGCACUCCCAAUGCACAGGGCCACAUGGAAGUUUCUCCAAGACAUCUUUCCUAGUUCCUAUACCAGGGAAAAGUCACCCAUUUACUUCUGUUUUUCAUUUUGAAAGUGGAUUAAACUAAAACUCAGAUAAAAGGCA